CAGCCGCCACAGAACUCCUCCCUGUUCCCAUCGCCGCCGCCCGCCGCCGCUCCUCCUCUCCUCUGCUACCCCCGUCGCGAGGAACCAACCUCCCGAAGCAACCGGAGCGGCAAGCGGCGGAAAAAUGGAGAGAUGGCGUUUGCGGCGACGGCGAAGGAGAUGGGCGGGCGUCAUCAAGCACGAGGAGGAGCGGCGCGUGGCUUCCUGGAAGGAUCUCGAGGGCCGGGUCUUCUCCGCCACCACACGCACCGAUGUCGCCGCGCUCCUCGGCGAGCCCCGCAACCAGAUCCUCGCCGGUGGUGCCUCCUUCGCCAACCUCGCCGCACAGCACUCCGGCUGCUGGGGACUGAAACGUGCGUAGAUGUGAUUCUCCAGAUCGUUUUCUUCUUCUCUCUCCCCUACCAAUCCUUCUUGCUUCCCCUCUUCUUCUCUCUCCCUGCUACUUGUGUGCCGCCUCAGAUCUCCAUCUCGAUCUGUGAUGUGCUCGCUGGUGCCGUUGAAGCCGGAUCCCGUGCUUCUCAAAUCGGUGGGUCUUCUCUUCCCUCCCUUCUUUCUCCAAUCUCCAUCCCCUAUCCGUUGGUAAUUCUAGACGAUGAUGCAUACUUCAUGUAAAUCGAAUGUUGUUUGUUCAGAUAGUAAUGCACAAAGUUCGGCGUAUGCUGUUCUCGGUUCAGUGCUAACAGAUCCUGCAAUGUCUCAAUUUCAUUUAUCCUAUCAUCAUUUGGGUCUAGCAAAUUUAUGUUCAUGCCUACAUCUAUAGUAGCCCCUUCAGAGUUGUAACUUAUAAUGUAGACUGUUAGUGCUUAUAUGCUUAGUACUUAUGCCUGUCAUGCUGAUAUUCAUGCAGUAUGUAGGACACGAUUGGAGACUCUAGAAUUUGCAUUCAUUCAACGGUUAUUAUUUUUAGAACAGUGCAUGUUGUGAUUGAUGAUGGUGGAAAUUGGAGGGAUUCUAUUUACUUAUUUUUGUGAGGAGGAGUUAUCUCCAAGGUUGCCAAACCUGCUGAGGUAUUAAAUAUUGUAGAUUAUAAAAAAACAAUGGAUUUAACAAAGUGUUCUUGUUUAGGAUGAGCAGGCAACACGCCCAAGUACUAUAGAUUAUCCUAUACAUUUCCUUUAUUAACACAAAUGGCAAUUCUAUAAUCUGUUAGGCAUUACAUCUCUGUUUUGUGCAGGAAACUUCAGAAAUUAGGCUUUUCUUUGUAAAUGGCUUCACGACACUGGGUUGGCUUCUGUUCCAGUGGUCACAGAAUACUCAUGGGAUUUCAUUUGAAUGUUUAUUCUUCAGAUUAUGCUGAACUAAAUAUGAGCUCAGUGUGGUGUUUGGUUUGAAUGGUGAAUUUUGUGCGGUGUUUCUGCAGGAGUUUUUGAAUCUAAAGCAAGGGUGAGCGCCAAGGAAGGAGGCGCCGCCACGGGCGACGGUGGCGGGGUUGGCCGCUGGCGGCUGCAAUAGUUAAUCAUUGUUGUCAACAUUGGCACACAGGAUUUAGUGGAAGGAAGGUUUUGGGCCAUCAGAUAUCCCUGAGAAUCAAUGGAAAGGAAGAGGAAAGGAAAAUGUUGAUACAUGCUCUGUUGCAAGUGUUUACGUCGCGCAGGUUGGUUCAGUCUAUCUUAUUUGGGUACACAACAGCUUAUAUUUGUAAGAGAACUCAAGAACACACUUUUGUGAUUUGUUGUGUAAUAUGUUGAUAGAUCUGUGGUUAGGGAGCACACUUGGAUUACAUGGUUUCUCCUUUCAGCCCGCUUGCUUGUUUGUUAAUGUCCAUCUUUUUUGAACUAUCAUGCAGAAACUUUAAUCUAUUGUGCAGAAUACAUUUCUUCAGAGAAACCGUUGGUCGUGUGCAGAAUAUAUUUCUUCAAAAAAUGUGUUAUUGUGCAGAAACUACAAUGAAGUUGUCGGGGAGAAGAUCCAGUGAACUCGGCACGUGCCUUUUAUUUGUUCAGUUCGCUGGAAAUGGAAAUACCGCCUGAAACUUUUAUGCACGUGCCACCUUCGAUCUUCAGUACCUUAAUAUGUCUUGUUAAACUCCUGCAAAGGUUAUCAUAAACCAUAACUAUCUAACAUGCAUUGCACUCUGACCUGAUGUAGUAAUUCGCAACAGCAGUGCCACGGUUCAGUUCAGCAUGGGGACCAACUACCUCUACAAUGUCCACUCCUACUGGUCUCUGACCUGUCAAACAAGAAGACAUGGUGCAGCUAGCUGCUGAAAAGGAGAUGACCGUGGUCCUCUUGACAAGAGGAGAUGACGAAGACGCAGCAGACCAAACCUUUGCGUUCUCCAGUCUCAUGCACAAGGAGUUUCGCAAGAUGGCCAAUGUUGUUAGGAACCAGGUCACUGGCAACUACUCCCUCCGUUCGGAAUUACUUGUCUCGGAAACGGAUGUAUCUAGAACUAAAAUACAUCUAGAUACAUCCAUUUCUGAGACAAGUAAUUCCGAACGGAGGGAGUACUACAUGGCUGACUUGACCAAACCCGCUCUUGCAAGACUUCAAUUUACUGCAACCUGGUAAUUUUUUUUUUUGAAAAGGAGGUUACUGCAACCUGGUAAAUGAUGAGUAUAAUGAAUGAUGCGCUCAUUACACUGGUUGUGCGAGUAGGUUCAACAUUUGUACCGCAUGACUAUGUUUCCAGAA